CAAUGAGUUAGGAAAUUAUUCCCGUGGAGAGGAGAAAAUGUUUAUGGUCUGUGACAGCGCAAACUCUGCAGAAUGUUUUGUAAGAAGACCUAAAGAGGAUGGGAAGUGAAGAUUAAAAGGAGAGAACGAAGGGAUCGCUGUAAGAAUGGAAAGGGAAAAGAAAGGGAUAGGUAAGGCCAUAGAAAUUCGGUGCAGGAGCUGAGAGUGGGAAGCAGAUAAUCAAUGGGAAGAAAGUCAGACACACAAACAUCCCUUCUCCUUGACAGGACAAUAAAUUGGCACUGACAGAUGGGUACGAAAGAGGCUCUAAAUUCUCAGUGUGGGCUUUCAACAGAGAAGAGGUGACCGAAGCUCUGGAAGUGCAUCCCUGUGGGCCCUGCAGGAGGCAGAGCCGUGUGCAAGUGGAGGCACUCGUGGUCGCUGUUGGGUUGGUUGGCUGCCUGUUACGAAGUCACCCUGAGCCACCCAUAUUAAAACCCAGAAAGCUCUUCCACUGACCGGGGGCACCACAGGAAUUCCUUUUGCUUUGAACAGACGCAGCGCCCUUCCUCCUCCUCACUGCUGUUUCCCACUGAGCGUCUGCUGGGAUGAGCUGGUUGGUGGCCAUGGCUUAGAAGAUUAUAUCCACUAAGUUUAUUUAGCCAGGAAUACUGAUCCCAGAAGGACACGGAUGCCCAAACAAGGAAGAGCUCCCGCUGUGACGCCCGUACUUUGCUGUAAGUGGAGGUGCUUUGCCAUGGAAGUGUUCUCCAUUUGCCACCACUGCUCUUGUGUAAGAGGUGAAAAAGCCCCUGCUGCUCUGAGACUGCAGCUGGGCAGGGGAGGAACGAUGCUGCGAAAGAAAACUCGUGAGCGAUGAUAAAAUGGAGAAACUCACCUUGAACUGCAUUGCUAGGGUGUGUCUCUUGGAAUACAGCCACACUGGAAAGGAACCUGAAAGCUCCGAUGUUUUGCCUA
ensembl:lncRNA